UACAGAGGGGGCAAGCGUUAUUCGGAAUUACUGGGCGUAAAGAGCUCGUAGGUGGUUUGUCGCGUUGUUCGUGAAAUCUCACGGCUUAACUGUGAGCGUGCGGGCGAUACGGGCAGACUAGAGUACUGCAGGGGAGACUGGAAUUCCUGGUGUAGCGGUGGAAUGCGCAGAUACCAGGAGGAACACCGGUGGCGAAGGCGGGUCUCUGGGCAGUAACUGACGCUGAGGAGCGAAAGCGUGGGGAGCGAACAGG
rnacentral:rRNA from 1 species